GCAGUCGUGCGGUGUGACUUGGACAGCUUGCUGCUCUCUGAUGGCACGCGGAGGGAGAAUAAUUAAAAAGGCCAGCAUCACUUACUAAGUGAGUAAACACAGAGCCGUUCCAAUCGUGCUCUCCAGCUAAUGAGAAGCUGUAAUUUCUUAUACUUCAAGGCAAGAUGAGACAGUGAUGGGUUCAGUGGAGGGUGUGUUUGCGUGGAUAUGGGGGUGGGGGGUAGUGGUGGUGGUAGAGUUAGAUCGACUAAUUGUUGGCAAUGUUUAAGAAAGGGAUUACUGGAAAAGACAGUGAAAUGAUGACAGGAAAACAUCUUGGACCAGAGCCAAAAAAAAAAAAAAAAAAAAUCGAGGCAAAUCAAGUCUGCAGCUCGGAGAAAACACCCGUCGCUCCGGUGGGAAGCUCCGACGGGAAUUGCUCGAUGUUCCUUAGCCAAGGACGGAAUAUCGUGUGAGCACAAGGGGACAGAAUUAGGGACCACCAGAGUCCAGAGGAAAGAGCUACGGUAUGCCAGGGUAUACAGUGAUGUCAUACAUUGAGAAAAAAAAUGAAAACCCCAAAACCAGAACAGAUCAAACCAAAACAAUAAAAACCAACCUGUGUCCUUUCCUUUUUAUGGGAGGCUUCUGCUUCAGUUUAUUAAAAGCAACCCUCAAAUGUACCUUCUGAUAGCAGGAGCUGCUGAUUCUCUGUUUGUCUGCAGAAGCUGCUGCAGGGUUACUGAAAGACGCUGGAAAAAGGAGGUUGAGGAAAUUAAGUUUUCCAUUGGUUGGGUUUCUGGCAAACGUGCCAGGCGAUCGUCUGCCAUUUGGACAGCCAUGGGGGUGCCAGUUUGGGAUUCCUCUUCUGUUGUCACCCAGCUUUGGCUUGGUGAUUUUAAUACAGUGUUCCAAACACACAUGACAAAGUGGGGACCUCAAGUAAUAAAACGAGCUGGAUUUUCUUUCUUUCUGGGUGUUCAGUUAACUGAGCUAAAUGGUUCUCUUUCACAUGAGUGGAAUUGGGGCUCUUUAAGGAUUUCUGGGACUGGAAGGUCACCCUUUUAAGAUAUCCUCCUUCUUUUCUGAUUGAGGUUUUAAUUUCACAUUGCUUCCUUAUUUAGGACUCCCCAGUACAUUCCAAGUUUCCUGAGCAGGAGAAAUAGAUUUUGCAGAAGUGAGCCACGGAGACCCAAAUGAGGAGGAAAUAAACCAGCUGUGGAU
rnacentral:lncRNA from 1 species